AACGAACACUGGCGGCAGGCUUAACACAUGCAAGUCGAGCGCCCCGCAAGGGGAGCGGCAGACGGGUGAGUAACGCGUGGGAAUCUACCCAUCUCUACGGAAUAACGCAUGGAAACGUGUGCUAAUACCGUAUACGUCCUUCGGGAGAAAGAUUUAUCGGAGAUGGAUGAGCCCGCGUUGGAUUAGCUAGUUGGUGGGGUAAAGGCCUACCAAGGCGACGAUCCAUAGCUGGUCUGAGAGGAUGAUCAGCCACACUGGGACUGAGACACGGCCCAGACUCCUACGGGAGGCAGCAGUGGGGAAUAUUGGACAAUGGGCGCAAGCCUGAUCCAGCCAAGCCGCGUGAGUGAUGAAGGCCCUAGGGUUGUAAAGCUCUUUCACCGGUGAAGAUAAUGACGGUAACCGGAGAAGAAGCCCCGGCUAACUUCGUGCCAGCCGCCGCGGUAAUAC
rnacentral:rRNA from 1 species